GAUUGAAGUCAGUCGUACCGGCGGGAAAUCAGCUUCUCGAGUGGGGGUUCGUGGGUGCGUUGAGCUUCGGCCUUCGUCGCUUGUGAUUCCUUUGCUUCUGGGGCGUACUUUUCCGUGUGGUAGGUCAACAUCGGUUUUGAUUACCAUAAAAUGACCGGAGGAAUGUGGCUUCGAUCUUGCAUUGGAGUGUUAUAGCCUCUGGUAGAUGUGGUGGUUGGGAUCGAGGAUUGCAACGAAUACCCUUUGGGCUAUCCGCCUGACCUCUGAAAGUCGCUUGGGUACCGAAAGCUUGCUUAUGGUCAUUCAAGUGGC
rnacentral:rRNA from 1 species